UACGUAGGGGGCAAGCGUUGUCCGGAUUUACUGGGCGUAAAGAGCGUGUAGGCGGCUUUACAGGUCCGUUGUGAAAACUCGAGGCUCAACCUCGAGACGCCGGUGGAAACCGUAAAGCUAGAGUCCGGAAGAGGAGAGUGGAAUUCCUGGUGUAGCGGUGAAAUGCGCAGAUAUCAGGAGGAACACCCGUGGCGAAAGCGGCUCUCUGGGACGGUACUGACGCUGAGACGCGAAAGCGUGGGGAGCAAACAGG
rnacentral:rRNA from 1 species